CUGGAGAAGGAAAUGGCAACCCACUCCAGUGUUCUUGCCUGGAGAAUCCCAGGGACGGGGGAGCUUGGUGGGCUGCCGUCUAUGGGGUCGCACAGAGUCAGACACGACUGAAGCGACUUAGCAGCAGCAGCAGCAGCAGUGGACGCCAAGCACAGUACCCUGUACACAUGACCGUGUUAAAUCACAACAACCCAGUGAAGUGGUUCCACCGUCAUCCAUGGUUUUCAACCAAGGAAGCUGAGGCUCACAGAGAUCCAAAGCCUGGUAAGCAGGCAGAACUGGGAUUCAAACUCAGGCUGGUUUGAGGAUACAUCCUAAAUUUUCUUCACCGUUUCUCACUUUGUUGGAAUAUGCUGGGUUCCACAUGCCCCCUUCUUGUUCCAACCAGCACACCCUGGUUGGUAGGACACCUCACUAGAUCAGAUACAAGGGAAAGAUGGUCAAUGAGAAACAUUUUUGCCUCCUUAGGCUGUCCCCCCACCUGGAGACACCUAUCAGUGUCUCCAAAUAGGACUUGGAAGCUCAGUUGCCUAAGCUUGGGACUAAAAGCAGACUGUUGGAACCCUGUUAACCAUCUUGUGCCCCAAGACUCGUGUUAUUUGCAAGGUAUGCAUGGGGCCAUGGCCCUGCAUUCCUUUAACCAGUUUAACAAGACCACUGACCAUGAGAGCAGCCAUGUCACGGACUCUUUCCAGCGGCCCAGAACUCUUCCAUUCAACUUCUGGCCACAGGAUGGAGAGCUCCCCACCUCAUACUCAAAAAGACGUUCACCUUUCCCACCCUCCAAAUGGGAGGCUAUCCCACAUAUUUGAAGCUAAACUCCAACCACUUCCCAGCGACAACCUUGGGUAUAUUCAAAAGUUUGAGGGCAAAGAGGAUGCACAAGGAAACUGCCCUCUGACGAUUAAUGGAAACAAAAUAUCACUGCUUUUAUUAAAAUAAGAGUUGAAACCAAGUCCUGCACAGGGUUCACAUGAAAUAACAUUCUACCUUAGAAACAUCUUUCACCUUUACUAUAAACCUUUGUUUCCAAUUGCCAGCUCAAGUUGUCCCCUGAUUUGCUGAAAAUUCCAUGUCCCACGGAAUGCUGUGUAUCUUUGUCAUUUACUCUACCACCUGAAAUUUCACCUGGAGACCUGACUCUUCCCCUGGAAAGCCAGGUGUUCCCACAGGAUGUCACAGCUCUUCCUUAGUGCUUCGGCGGUCAGGAAGCAGCCCCCAUGCUGACCUCCUCCAUUCAAAUGGACUGAGUAUAUGGACAUUUGUAUUUAUUCCAUACCACAAAAAUAAUCAGAGUGAAAAAAGGUACUCACCAUUGGCUUGUGAUUGGGGAAAAAUGUUUGCUCCACAAGCGGGAACUUCUCAGGACCCAGCGAAUGGAAGAUCUUAAUGAGCUGAGAGAACUAGGACAGAAUGUGACAGAACAUUGGUCAACCACUGUUUCCUGGUAUGGCGAAACAUCCCACUUGAUCCCAGGCCUCAAGCACCUAUCUGCUCCAGUAGCUGCUCCCUGUCCCCAGGAUAAAGGCCAGAGUCCUUGACUGGACAUUCGUCCGCUCCAGUCUCCUCCAUCAUCCACCUUACUCCGCAGCCCUGGGAGCUCAUUCUGUGCCCAGCCCUGUGCUGGCCAGCACACACAGCUACAUAUACAUGGCAUGUAAACAUCCAUGUGUUGUUCAGGGGCAACGCACUACACAUGUGAGACCAGGUCUAGAGGAAAGACAGCCUGUGGGCAGAUGGCUGAGAUAACAACAUCUUGCUGGAGGGAAGUGAGGGGCUUGUGGGACCUGGAAGAGGAAUAGACAGGGGGUGAUGAUGACUUCAGGAGCAGAUGAUAUAAGAGAAGGAGGAAGGGCAUUCCAGUGUGCAGUGAGACAGCUGUGUGCUAGAGAUGCUCAGUGAACAAUGAGCUGGGAAUUCACCCAUCAGGCAAAGGGAGCUGUCGGUGAACAAAAGCAGAGAAGAGCAAGGUAGACUCUGAUCAGAAAGAAGAAAUCAGGUGCAGUGUAAGGCGGCCUAAUGUGGAUGCCUAGUGGCUGGAAAAGGAGCUAAGUCUUGUGCCAAACUGACUUUGGGGUAAACUCAAUACUGAGAGCUCACAAGAACAGAACAGAUAACUUAGGAACUCUCCGCAUCAUGCCAGGAUUGGAAGACUCUUGGGCUGUAGCCCGCUGCUGUGGUGCAACAUGCUGUCAGGCACUGUGGCAGACACACAAGUUACUGGGUCCUCACAAUUGUCCUGGGAUGUGGGUGCUGCUGCCGUCAAUUCCAUCUCACAGACGAGCACCCGGAGGCUUAAGAAGACCAGGUCACUUGCUCACAAAGACACACUACAGAUGGGAACACACGGCAAGUCAGAGAUGUUGUGAACUUCCUCAAAUCACAAAGCUGGGAAGCAGGAGAGCCACGUUUGAACACAGGUCAUCUCACUCCAAGUCCACAUGCUCUACCCUCCAUCACACGGCUCCAGGGAGAUUCACACAGUGCUUCAUUCACACUGCCAAGGAUCCACCUGUUUCCGGAUUCCUUACUUCUAAGUCCAGAGAAAAUCAAGACUCACAGUAGGUAGGUGGUUUAUACUU